GCCAGUGUGGUCUAGUGGUUUGAGUGUUGGACUAUGACUCUGGAGAUCAGGGUUCAAUUCCCUGUUCAGUCA